rnacentral:rRNA from 1 species
CUUAACACAUGCAAGUCGAGGGGCAGCAUGGUCUUAGCUUGCUAAGGCCGAUGGCGACCGGCGCACGGGUGAGUAACACGUAUCCAACCUGCCGUCUACUCUUGGACAGCCUUCUGAAAGGAAGAUUAAUACAAGAUGGCAUCAUGAGUCCGCAUGUUCACAUGAUUAAAGGUAUUCCGGUAGACGAUGGGGAUGCGUUCCAUUAGAUAGUAGGCGGGGUAACGGCCCACCUAGUCUUCGAUGGAUAGGGGUUCUGAGAGGAAGGUCCCCCACAUUGGAACUGAGACACGGUCCAAACUCCUACGGGAGGCAGCAGUGAGGAAUAUUGGUCAAUGGGCGAGAGCCUGAACCAGCCAAGUAGCGUGAAGGAUGACUGCCCUAUGGGUUGUAAACUUCUUUUAUAAAGGAAUAAAGUCGGGUAUGCAUACCCGUUUGCAUGUACUUUAUGAAUAAGGAUCGGCUAACUCCGUGCCAGCAGCCGCGGUAAUACGGAGGAUCCGAGCGUUAUCCGGAUUUAUUGGGUUUAAAGGGAGCGUAGAUGGAUGUUUAAGUCAGUUGUGAAAGUUUGCGGCUCAACCGUAAAAUUGCAGUUGAUACUGGAUAUCUUGAGUGCAGUUGAGGCAGGCGGAAUUCGUGGUGUAGCGGUGAAAUGCUUAGAUAUCACGAAGAACUCCGAUUGCGAAGGCAGCCUGCUAAGCUGCAACUGACAUUGAGGCUCGAAAGUGUGGGUAUCAAACAGGAUUAGAUACCCUGGUAGUCCACACGGUAAACGAUGAAUACUCGCUGUUUGCGAUAUACGGCAAGCGGCCAAGCGAAAGCGUUAAGUAUUCCACCUGGGGAGUACGCCGGCAACGGUGAAACUCAAAGGAAUUGACGGGGGCCCGCACAAGCGGAGGAACAUGUGGUUUAAUUCGAUGAUACGCGAGGAACCUUACCCGGGCUUAAAUUGCAGAUGAAUUACGGUGAAAGCCGUAAGCCGCAAGGCAUCUGUGAAGGUGCUGCAUGGUUGUCGUCAGCUCGUGCCGUGAGGUGUCGGCUUAAGUGCCAUAACGAGCGCAACCCUUGUUGUCAGUUACUAACAGGUUCCGCUGAGGACUCUGACAAGACUGCCAUCGUAAGAUGUGAGGAAGGUGGGGAUGACGUCAAAUCAGCACGGCCCUUACGUCCGGGCUACACACGUGUUACAAUGGGGGGUACAGAGGGCCGCUACCACGCGAGUGGAUGCCAAUCCCAAAAACCUCUCUCAGUUCGGACUGGAGUCUGCAACCCGACUCCACGAAGCUGGAUUCGCUAGUAAUCGCGCAUCAGCCACGGCGCGGUGAAUACGUUCCCGGGCCUUGUACACACCGCCCGUCAAGCCAUGGGAGCCGGGGGUACCUGAAGUGCGUAACCGCGAGGAGCGCCCUAGGGUAAAACUGGUGACUGGGGCUAAGUAGUA